rnacentral:rRNA from 1 species
UACGGGGGGAGCAAGCGUUGUUCGGAUUUACUGGGCGUAAAGGGCGCGUAGGCGGCCUCUGCAAGUCGACUGUGAAAUCUCCGGGCUUAACCCGGAAAGGUCAGCCGAUACUGCAGGGCUAGAGUCCGGAAGAGGCGAGUGGAAUUCCUGGUGUAGCGGUGAAAUGCGCAGAUAUCAGGAGGAACACCGAUGGCGAAGGCAGCUCGCUGGGACGGUACUGACGCUGAGGCGCGAAAGCGUGGGGAGCAAACAGG